AGCUUUCUGAAUUCCCGAAGAGAUUUUGUCAGACACCAACCCAUUAGGGCUGAUCAGACUUCCAAGAUAAGUGAAGCU
rfam:Schistosoma haematobium scaffold553_39, whole genome shotgun sequence.